rnacentral:rRNA from 1 species
AUUGAACGCUGGCGGCAGGCUUAACACAUGCAAGUCGAGCGAGCGGCUGACGGGUGAGUAAUGUCUGGGAAACUGCCUGAUGGAGGGGGAUAACUACUGGAAACGGUAGCUAAUACCGCAUACCAUCAGAUGUGCCCAGAUGGGAUUAGCUAGUAGGUGGGGUAAUGGCUCACCGAGGCGACGAUCCCUAGCUGGUCUGAGAGGAUGACCAGCCACCCUAGCACUGAGACGCGGUCCAGACUCAUACGAGAGGCAGAGAUGGGGAAUAUUGGACGAAGGGCGCAAGCCUGAUGCAGCCAUGCGGCGUAUGUGAAGAAGGCCUUCGGGUUGUAAAGCACUUUGAGCGAGGAGGCGUUACUCGCAGAAGAAGCACCGGCUAACUCCGUGCCAGCCGCCGCGGUAAUAC